AUCUGUCACUCCUGCCAUAAUAUGUAGCACAGUAAUAAUCAGCCUCGUCCGCAGGCUGGAGCCCAGAAAUGAGCAAAAGGCAUGGAUUGGCCAAGGCAUCUUUGGAUCCAGAGAACUGAUUGGGGACCCCGGCGCCAUGGUGCAUAUCUGAGUCCGACUUGAAACUCAGGAGAUACCGGGGAGGGCUUCCUGGUUUCUGCUGGUACCAGCAUACCCAGUAGUCACCAAGACUGAAGCCACUGCAGAGUGCAAGUGGUCUCAAGAGGAAGGGAACAUGGUCCCUACUCUGGAGUCAGUCACUUGCUGAGGAAAAAUCGAGGUGAUGAGAAAUGUGGGGCAUUCUUGCUGGCUUUAGUCUGGAGAGCCACACUGAUUCUGGGGUCCUGCCAGGAAUGAGCAUCAGGGUGCAGAGAUGGAAACUGGUCUUCCAGACAGGAGCCCAGAGUAGUCAAGGAGAUCGAGUGAUCAGACCUGGAGCCAAAGAACCCAUUCGGGACCCUGAGGGAUGGGGACCACCAGACAUCACCAUUUGGUGCUCCUGUCUGGGAGCUAUUGGUGCCAGGACACAUCACACACCCAACUCUGCUGCUCUUUCCAGCCAAGAGAAGCUGACCAUCACAACCAGA